rnacentral:sRNA from 1 species
CAGAUGGCUUUAGGGGCUGAUCGUCUGUCCACAGAAUGGCUACAACCUGGUCAGUGGUUGGUCAGGUUACUGCAACAAUGCCCCACGAAUAUGUUCCCCUCCUGCCCUGGAGGGACCCCCUCUAGGGGCGAGAUGGUGCUUCAUUCUCCAUCCCCUUUCAGCCCUUGGCCUCG